ensembl:lncRNA
AUUUAGGACAGAACAAGGGGCUGCCACCUGGGCCUAAUUAGACUUCCUCUUGCAGGAUAAGCCCCACACAGCAGAGUAUUCCCAGCACAAUUGUGCCUCUCAGCUCCCCUUACUGCUGCUGCUGCUAAGUCGCUUCAGUCGUGUCCAACUCUGUGUGACCCCAUAGAUGGAAGCCCACCAGGCUCCCCUGUCCCUGGGACUCUCCAGAGCUGACAAGCACUUCCCACUCCCAGCUGUACAGAUGUCAGACCAGCAAUCUACGCCCUUGUCGAGGUGGCCCCACACAGCUUCUCAUGGCAUCUCCGCUGCAGGGUCUCUGGACCUCAGGACCCUUCAGCCAGCUCUGCUCUCAGUUUCUGCACUACUCGGACAUUGUUCUCCCUCUGCCACUGAGGAUUUGUCUGUAUAACAGCCGAGUUUCCAGAAGUUCAUUCACUCAGGUGGUGAGGUGAAGCCUAGAGUUUUGAUGACUUGCUCAAAAAUCCUAGGAACCCCUGUGCUGCAGAAGCUCUUCUCCUCUGACCGUAACAAACCCUCAGGCCCUGCUUAAGUCUCAGCUCUUCCAUGUGGCCCCACAGGCCCUCGGCUUCCAUCUACCCCAUUAGCGACACUGCCAGGCAUCUUUCUGCAUCAAGUCAGAGCUCCAGGCUCCUGGCUGUGGCCGAAGCAGGGAAGCACAAAUGAGAAAGGCAUGAACUGAGAGUCCCAGUGGGGAAAUGACCGUGAAGCAGCUUCCUGGGGAUAGAGCCUGUUGGGCCUGUUCCUCUUCUCUGCUGUUGGUAGAAAAGCACUUCUGACCCACUGUUACCUCUGCUGAGGAUGUGGCCAAGAUAU